rnacentral:rRNA from 1 species
UGUUCGGAAUUAUUGGGCGUAAAGGGCAUGUAGGCGGUCUUGUAAGCUUGGGCGUGAAAGACCACGGCUCAACCGUGGGAUUGCGUUGAGAACUGCGAGGCUUGAGUGACGGAGAGGGAGCUAGAAUUCCUGGUGUAGGGGUGGAAUCUGUAGAGAUCAGGAAGAAUACCAAUGGCGAAGGCAAGCUCCUGGCCGAUGACUGACGCUGAGGUGCGAAAGUGUGGGGAUC